CCUCACUUGUGGGGGGAUUAGUGGCGAACGGGUGAGUAACACGUGAGUAACCUGCCCUUAACUCUGGGAUAAGCCUGGGAAACUGGGUCUAAUACCGGAUAUGACUCCUCAUCGCAUGGUGGGGGGUGGAAAGCUUUUUGUGGUUUUGGAUGGACUCGCGGCCUAUCAGCUUGUUGGUGAGGUAAUGGCUCACCAAGGCGACGACGGGUAGCCGGCCUGAGAGGGUGACCGGCCACACUGGGACUGAGACACGGCCCAGACUCCUACGGGAGGCAGCAGUGGGGAAUAUUGCACAAUGGGCGCAAGCCUGAUGCAGCGACGCCGCGUGAGGGAUGACGGCCUUCGGGUUGUAAACCUCUUUCAGUAGGGAAGAAGCGAAAGUGACGGUACCUGCAGAAGAAGCGCCGGCUAACUACGUGCCAGCAGCCGCGGUAAUACGUAGGGCGCAAGCGUUAUCCGGAAUUAUUGGGCGUAAAGAGCUCGUAGGCGGUUUGUCGCGUCUGCCGUGAAAGUCCGGGGCUCAACUCCGGAUCUGCGGUGGGUACGGGCAGACUAGAGUGAUGUAGGGGAGACUGGAAUUCCUGGUGUAGCGGUGAAAUGCGCAGAUAUCAGGAGGAACACCGAUGGCGAAGGCAGGUCUCUGGGCAUUAACUGACGCUGAGGAGCGAAAGCAUGGGGAGCGAACAGGAUUAGAUACCCUGGUAGUCCAUGCCGUAAACGUUGG
rnacentral:rRNA from 1 species